CUGAUGAUCCACUCGUACCGUUGGUCUUCUCCAUCAAACCAACGUUCUUGUGACCCGGGUUAGGAACGAGCUCAUGUUUAUGCUUUAUAAGUUGUUUAUGAUAAAAACUUUUCUUGUAACCAUCAAGAGUUGGAAAAACGCCGGAAGACGUGGGAAUCUCUCAGUAAAUCAUCAUCUGGAUAUUAAGAGAUUUCAGAGACUUUAGAGUUCUGUUCAUGAUCCUUUUCCAUCAGAAGCCUUGUUUUCCUGCUAAAUCCCCCUACAGUCAUGAACAGCACCCCCAAAAGGUGGAUACUGAAACCUCUGUCCCCCAUCCUGAGACCUUCAGACCUUCAGAGGAUGACUUUUCCUGCCUACCCUCUCAACUGCAGCACCUCUAGCAGCAGUAACUCCUCUCUUGUGGAAUCUUCAUUUAAGAGGGAAAGUUCCCUGGACAGAUUGGCUCAGACCAGCCAUGUUUCCAUUUUGCAAAAUGGGAACACAGAUGAUUCUGAUAAAUAUCAUCUUAGCAGUUCCGGUAGCGUUGAAUGUCCCAGCAGCUCUUCAAGCCUCCGGUGUGGGUUCUAUUCUUUUGUAGAGGAUCCCAUGAGUCCGGAAGCGAAGCAAAACGAGUCUUGGAUGGUAUCAUCUCAGCGGCAGACUUACCUUGCCACACUGAAGGAGGAGACUGGAUUCAAACUGCAGGCCUACAACGGCAUCAAAAAGCCUCAAACUCUAUUUUCUGUGGACAAAGAAGAUUUACAGUACAAAAUAGAUCCAUGCAUCUGCAUUGAAGUGAUCUGUGAGACAGAGGAAAUGCAGCUCCGAAAAGAAAUCAUUCGUAGUCAGGCACCAAGAAAGAUUCUAGCCCAGACGACACGCCUGGAGGGAAAUCUGAGCCAGUGUACAGAAACCUACAGGACUGUCCUCCAGUCCUCCAGAACAAAACCCUGUCAACCCACCCAGCCAGAGACCACGGAGAAAUAUCAGACCAACUUCAAAACUAUCAGGAAGCACUUUCUGAACAUGGAGCAGGAGAAUUUGAAAGCUCCUCUCAGCCCUGAUAGGUCCACAAAGUUCCCUCAGGUUUUAGCACUGCGGUCCAAUCUUAAUGUUCCUCUAUCGCAAAGACAGGAGGAGCAAAGCACAGGGAAAAUCAGCCCAAAUUUAGCAGCAACGGAAGAAGAUCAGCUGAACCAGCAGAAGAGGCCGCAGACAAGUCUGAGCAGACCUGAUGAGCUUGAGAGGCGCCACAGGCUGACAUCCGAACAGGAGGACGGUCGCCUCACAAGUAACCUGAACCUGUUUACAACUCAUAAAUCUGCAUUGCUUAAUGGAAGUCCCACUGGAAAGGAGAUCUUAUUACUAAAGGAAGAGAACCUGCAACGUUCUUCUGAACUGGACAACAACAGUCCAGGAGAGGAGGCUGAAAUGAAAAGUAAAUGUUCAUCAUCCUAUCUUUCCCCCAGAGACACUAAAUUUGUUGGUCAAAACCUUAAAAAAGAGAAUGACACGCAGAAUCUAGAGGAGCAGGAUCAUCAACACCAUGAAAUUCCAGAGCAAAGUCCCUUAAGGGGAAAUGCUGACAGGACUGAUAACAUAGAAACUGAAGAUAAGCCACAGGUGGAAUCUGGAACAGGUGACAGUUUCCCAUUUCCUUGCUGUCCACAUCGUCAUCAUGAAGAAUCAAAGUUCUGUCGAUCAAAUGUUGCUGCUUCCUCCCGUUCUGAAGGUGAUAGUGAGGUCUGGAACGCAAUGUGCUUUCAAAAAGACCCAGCUCCCUAUUUUACCUCAGCGCCCUAUCUCCCUUCAUUUCCAUCCCUAAAGUCAACACCUCACUGUGAAUCAGACUCUAGGGGACCGGCACCUCUAAACUUAAUUAAGAAAGAGAUCCAAGAGGUUCUAAAACGAGAACAAGAACUAAAAGAGAUGAUGGAGUCCAGAAAAGUGAUCCGCCAACAACUCCUGUCUCCAGCUUCUCUGGUGGAAACGGCAAACAUGAUGGCUGUCAGACAGUUCUACCCCCAACCAAACAAGGAAAAACUAGUAAGUUUUUCCUCCUCAUCUGCCUGUCCUUCUGGCCAUGUGACCUCCGAUUCCUCCAAUGCCCAUCAGCGUUGGACAACCUCCUCCAGGGUCCAGCAGGUUCCACCAAGUCUGCAAAGUCUGACCGAGAUUCCAGUGCAGGACUUUGAGGGGCAUCAAGCCAAGCUGAGGUUGGAAGAAAGCUCAUAUGGAGGGAUCCUGCUGGUUGACAACAUUAACAACAAGGUGCAGACUGCCGUUCACAUUGACCCUAAAGGUUUCAAAACUGGUCCUUGACUGAAAACUACAAACACCAGCACUGCUGAUCUUCAAAGUCCCAUUCUGAUCAUCUUUUGAUCUAUUUUCAGAGUGUUCCUGGUGGUCUUUUAAUGAUGAUGAUACAGUUUUUAGCAAAAACCCAAAAAUCUGUGUCGUUUUCUGGGACAUAGUUUCUGCAGAGCAGCAGGAGUUCAUGAAAAAGUCACCUCUGAGUUGUGGGCGGGACUGUGGGGGCAGAAGUAAGCCUCUGCUUCUUUCCCAUCAUCCCUUUGUUUACACUCUCUUAGGCUAAUAUACAGCCCCUCACUCAAGUAGAUGCAUCAGAAUGGAGCAGAGGAGGGAGACCCAAUCCCCAGCUAAAUGAGUCUGGAAGGAUGAUUGUGGAAGUGAAAUGUUUUGCACUGUUUGUGUGUUUUCUACUUAAAAACUGAGAGCUUUUCAAUUUGCAUUUUUCCUCUGCUCCUGAUGCACCUCAAUUUGAAUAAAGCAAUACUAGGUAACACAGUUUGAAGUUGAUUUUUUUAUAUGUUCUCUAGCAUGGUAGCGCAGAGAAAGUGAGAAAGUCCUUGUUCAAAUCCCGGUUGAAACCGUUCAGUGUGGAGUUUGCAUUCGUAGGCACUCCAGCCUAAAGGACCCAGGUGUGCCUAAAACCGCUACUAGUGCGUGCCCACCCGUUAUCGCAUUGGUGCGCCCCACUAUUUGAGAAGCACUGCUCUAAAGCAAAGAUGUCCAACUCUAGGUCUCCAGGCCAACCUCCUGCUGGUUUUCCAGAAAUCUACUGCUGAUUGCCUGGAUGGAUCAGGUCAUUGAGUCCACAAGAGUUGUUCGACAAAAAAACCGGCAAGCUCUGCGUUGGGAGGCUGGCGUGUUCACCAACAAGGAGAAGUAAAGAGUCUGUCCAAAAACACUGAGUGGAGACAGCUGCAUCUGAAGCCAAUACUUUUGGGGUGCACACUCACACCUCUUGGCCCUAAAACUACACACUUGUGGCAUCAUACAUGGCCACAGAAGGUUGAGCUGUUCUGCAGCAAAACAAACCUAAAGAAAAAACUGAAGAAGUAAAACAAAUGUCUUUAAUGUGUUCUGUUGUUUGAGAAAAUGAAAUGAGCUUUUUUAGAGGUUGUAACCAGCAGAAAUAAUUUUUGCCACUGAUUUCAAACUUUUAUUUUGUUCAUGUGCUCUGCUGUUUUGAACAAGCUUGGAUGCGAUGCUUGUAAAAAAACUGCUGUUUAUUACGUAUUUCAAAUUGCUUGAUUGCUUGCUUUAACAAAGAUCAGGUCAUACACCACUGUUUUUUCAUCAACAGAAUCAAAUUCAUUAUUUGGUUGAUGUAUGAAAGAUGUUAGGUUAAAGGCCUUUUGAUGGGACAACACUGACUCUUGUUGCUGAUUGCUUUUAUUAGCUUUACAAAGUCUGAACUCUUAAAUAUUGUUUAAAUAUUUAAUUUUAAUGUCACUUAAUAUCUGAACAUUAAAAACUGUUUGAAAUAAAUGACACAUUUUUAAGAGAUUAACUCAAUCUGCUCUUGUCAUUUGUAGAACAUUGUAUUUAUUUAUUACAAGAAACAGAAGGCUGAACAAUGUUCUACACAGCAGAUAGAAGAGGAGGAAAUUGUAGUGAAGAAGUUUCUUUCAAAAAAGUAGAGAAAAAAAGUAGAGAAAUGUUCUCAAUAACUGUGGAGGUCUCUUGUCGAUCCUGUUUUAACACCUUUGCCCACAAAACUAGUGUUAUGGCAGGUGGGUGGAAGGUGGAAUCCAAAUGUGGACACGGCUUUGUGGGUAGCAAAUUUUCAUUUUAAACUGGUGGAGUGAGAGAGAUAGAGGCAGAGAGGCAGGAUGGGAGGAUCAGAGCACAUAAGAAUAACUUUCGGCUCUGCUAAAGCUGUCAACAUUGUUACCAGAGGUGAACGAUAGUCUGGUGUCGGCUGGAGGUCCAUCUGAAGAAUAUGUAGAGUGGCUGAUGAGGUGCAGGUGUGUGAUCAGGAGGAGGUGCAGGUGUGUGAUCAGGAGGAGGGACAGGUGUGU